rnacentral:tRNA from 1 species
GCCGCCCUAGCUCAGCUGGCAGAGCACCGCAUUCGUAAUGCGUAGGUCGAGGGUUCGAGUCCCUUGGGCGGCU